AGCUGGGUUAGGUUACAACCUGUAAAGCCACACUGGCCACAGGACAUCCAGCAGGAAAGGGGAAAAACCACCAUGACCACCAUGUCACCAGGAAGAGUCACCGUCAGCUGACAGCCACGACAUUCAUCGGGACUUCUCAUUUUUUUAUGAUUGCACAAUAUUAUGUGGUGGUGUAGCAGGGUGGAGUGUCACCUUGCUCAGCGCCCAGCAGCCUGUGGCUAGAUGAUGAUUUAUAGCAGAGGAAAGCUGGGGCUUGGGAGAUGAAGUUAGUGGAUGGCUUGGUUUAAAAUCACUUGUGGCGGAUGAAGAUGUGCAGCAGACGAUGCCAAACUGAAAAGCCUUGAAGAUACCCUGAAGAAUCAUGCAACGAAAAACACCACCACAUCGAGUGGUAGUGAUGUUGUUGUUUUGUUUUGAAGGGUUGAAAAUAAAUAGAUACACUGGAUACAUUUUUACCCAACUCAGUUUUUGAGCAGAACCGCUG